AUUAGCUGGUUGGUGAGGUAACGGCUCACCAAGGCGACGAUCCGUAGCUGGUCUGAGAGGAUGAUCAGCCACAUCGGGACUGAGACACGGCCCGAACUCCUACGGGAGGCAGCAGUGGGGAAUAUUGGACAAUGGGGGCAACCCUGAUCCAGCCAUGCCGCGUGUGUGAAGAAGGCCUUCGGGUUGUAAAGCACUUUCAGUGGGGAAGAAGGCCUUGAGGCUAAUACCCUCGAGGAAGGACAUCACCCACAGAAGAAGCACCGGCUAACUCCGUGCCAGCAGCCGCGGUAAUACGGAGGGUGCGAGCGUUAAUCGGAAUGACUGGGCGUAAAGCGCGCGUAGGCGGCUUGGUAAGCCGGUUGUGAAAGCCCCGGGCUCAACCUGGGAAUGGCAUCCGGAACUGUCAGGCUAGAGUGCAGGAGAGGAAGGUAGAAUUCCCGGUGUAGCGGUGAAAUGCGUAGAGAUCGGGAGGAAUACCAGUGGCGAAGGCGGCCUUCUGGACUGACACUGACGCUGAGGUGCGAAAGCGUGGGUAGCAAACAGGAUUAGAUACCCUGGUAGUCCACGCCGUAAACGAUGUCGACUAGCCGUUGGGCUCCUCGAGAGCUUAGUGGCGCAGUUAACGCGAUAAGUCGACCGCCUGGGGAGUACGGCCGCAAGGUUAAAACUCAAAUGAAUUGACGGGGGCCCGCACAAGCGGUGGAGCAUGUGGUUUAAUUCGAUGCAACGCGAAGAACCUUACCUACCCUUGACAUCCUCGGAAGCCGGAAGAGAUUCUGGUGUGCCUUCGGGAGCCGAGUGACAGGUGCUGCAUGGCCGUCGUCAGCUCGUGUUGUGAAAUGUUGGGUUAAGUCCCGUAACGAGCGCAACCCUUGUCCCUAUUUGCCAGCGAUUCGGUCGGGAACUCUAGGGAGACUGCCGGUGACAAACCGGAGGAAGGUGGGGACGACGUCAGGUCAUCAUGGCCCUUACGGGUAGGGCUACACACGUGCUACAAUGGUCGGUACAAAGGGUUGCGAGUUCGCGAGGACGAGCCAAUCCCGAAAAGCCGAUCUCAGUCCGGAUCGGAGUCUGCAACUCGACUCCGUGAAGUCGGAAUCGCUAGUAAUCGUGAAUCAGAAUGUCACGGUGAAUACGUUCCCGGGCCUUGUACACACCGCCCGU
rnacentral:rRNA from 1 species